AGAAGAAGCAAAAUAAUCAUAUUUCUGAAGAUCCAGAGGAUCCAGGGGAAGACACUUCUCUCAACUCAAACACAGAUGGAGCAGGUGAACGGGACACAGGUGAAUCCUUACCUGUUGUGGUCGACACAAACCUUUCAGUGGACAAUGAAGAAGGAGCUGUACAUGGAGCUUGACGGGAUGGUGAUGAACAUGAACGUACAAGACAUUGUGUGGAGUCACAAGACAACAAGAGCUGAGCCUGCCAUUGAGACAAGUCAGCAUCAUACAGAAGAAGAAGCAGCUCUUCUCUGAGAUGAGCUGAACCUCAGAUGCUCAAACACAGAGACAGUGCUUCUAGAACUUAUUCUUUACGUACUAGUGUUUAUUUGUAUUAAUGAUUAUUUUAUUAAUUAUACAAUUAACCUUUCAGACCAGAGAUAUCCUGAACUUAAAAGAUACUAGUACUUUUUAAAUUAGCAUUUCUGCCCAGUUUGAUAAUCAUGUUGAAUAUUAAUGAGCCAGCAACAUAUAGGAGAGAGAUUAAAGCGGAAACUGGAACAAGGGGAUGGAUGUACUUUUUUGAGAAAACCAAGUAGAAAAGAAACAAUUAUUUGUACACAAGCACAUAGAAAACUUAUAUUUGUCAGUUUUGUAAACGCUAUAAAUUUCGUAAAUAUAGUAGUCUUAUGUGUAGUCUUUGAGUGACCUCUGCUGGCAAGAUGGAGAUAAGACACCAAUUUAAUUAGAUGUUAUUUUCCCUUUUGUCCUCCAGUAAAAACAAUAAAUAACAUACCAUAUCA